GAAAGAAACACGAGGAACACCUCAGUCCAUGGAAAGGAAAACCUUAGGAGCGGUGUUAUGAAAACCAGCAUCAUCCUGGACAGCCAUUUCUGGAGGAGAUAAACCCCGGUUGGACCAAAGGAAAAAAUAUGAGAUCUGUCAUCCAUAUUUUCAUCUCGUCCUUUUAAAAUUUGCACGUCUCAUGCACCCAUCAUGAUAUCUGUAGUCCAUCAGCACAAGCACGUGUUUAUCAUUUAUAAGUCAUCGGGGAAGAAGGCUGGGUUUAUCACUCCGUGGUAGGAAUGCUUACCUACUAUGGGUGAGGGCCUGGGUGCCAGCCUCAGUGUUGUGGCAGAACAAAAGAAAACAGGGAAAAGGAACAUCAGAGUGGGACUGCAGUGUGCCCACUGAGCUUGCUGUCAGGGAGGCAUACCUGGGCUGCAAUGGGGAGAAUUAACAUAGGCAAAAUGGUGUCCCCAUGGAGGCCAAUCAGGAAACUGAAACAGAAGGUUGAGAAACUGCGAUAUAUUUCUGAGGAAGGAUACAGUUUGUGAACUGUGCUUGAAUUUUGGGAAAUGGAAGUCAUUCCUAUGAAAGGAAUUAGCCCAAGUGUCCAUUUGAGGGUAUGGACCACAGCAUGGAGUUACAACCCAGCAGAACCGGAAGAAGAGGAAGAGCUGCUUCAGGGCCCAAGUGAGCCUCAGCUUGCAGCCCAGGCCUCAGAGAUGCUGAAGCCAAAUCGCAAGUAGGAGGCGAGGCGGGCGGCCCUCCCUCCCCCUCGGCGGGCGUACUGUACAGCAGACACCUGCAGCAC
ensembl:lncRNA